rnacentral:rRNA from 1 species
AACGAACGCUGGCGGCAGGCCUAACACAUGCAAGUCGAGCGAAGUUUUUAUUAACUUAGCGGCGGACGGGUGAGUAACACGUGGGAACGUGCCCUUUAGUCAGGAAUAACUCAUGGAAACGUGAGCUAAUACCGGAUACACCCUUCGGGGGAAAGAUUUAUCGCUAAAGGAUCGGCCCGCGGUGGAUUAGGUAGUUGGUGAGGUAAAAGCUCACCAAGCCAACGAUCCAUAGCUGGUUUGAGAGGAUGAUCAGCCACACUGGGACUGAGACACGGCCCAG